rfam:Picoides pubescens contig60246, whole genome shotgun sequence.
UUGCAAACUCGAUCACUAGCUCUGCAUGAUGUUGCAGAAGCAAGGGGAACAGGUUUGCUAGAGUAAAUAUGGUUGUAGAACUGUUAGUCUGAGAAAUCGAAUGCUUUGGACUGUCAGUUCUAUACCAUGACAAGG